CCCUGCGCAGCCGCAGCCAAGGCACGGGAGCGGGGUGGGGGGGGGAUGGGAGAAGAGCAAAUAAAUAGCUUCAAGGAGAGAGGCCCUGAGAGCAGGAAACAGAGUGGAAGAGACCUACAGGAUGCUGUGAAAAGGCUUCAAGAAAUGUGGGGCUGGCUUCUGUGGACUCUUUGCCUGGUGGCCCACCUUUCAUUAAUUUGAUGAAUAAGAGACUCCACAGUUUCAGCAGUAGAGAACAAUAAGGAAUUUUCCAUCUCAUAGAGAUGCUGCCAGGGAGGGAACUUCGAACCUUCUGCUCAUCCCAGAACAGCUCCAUCCUCUCAGGGGAACAUCUUCCAGUGCUCACACAUCAAGUCUCCCUUUCAUGUGCAACCACGAUGGACCCUGCUUAGCUAAGGGGACAAGUCAUGCUUGCUGCCAGAAGACCAGCUCUCCUCUCCUGUUUUAAAGGGUGGGGUGGAGUAUGCCUCCUCCUCCAUCUCCUUCUUGAAACUUCAUCAGGUUUUUCAACACCUCCUUGAAUGGGCCACAGUGGGAAACAGCGUUUACUUAGACAGUGUUUCCCCCUCAGCCUCUAGAAUCGCCCCUUGCCGUCUCCUGAACAAUACUAGGGAAGGUAGUUAUUAUCCUCCACUAUUUGCUGCCAGAAUCUUCAGAAAGGAUUAAUGAGAGAGUGGCGUCAACAUGCUUUUAUUUUUUAGCAACAGGAACACAGUUAACCAAAGAAAGUUCUGGGGAGUGGGGUGGGCAGAGACAAGUACCAGUUCCCUGAAAGAUCUUACAAAACUUUAGAGAAAAAAUCCCUCCUUUUGCCAAACUACACUCCAUCUUCUUAUAGCUAUAAUAGGGAACUUUCAUCAGAAAAGCAAUGGGAUGUUGACUACUGUAUUUCUGGCGCAAUCCAUCGCACCCCAGCCACUUCUUCCAGUGAAUACUUGGUGAUGAUUAACUGAUUCACAAUUCCACAGGAUUUGGAUAUAUAUUGUGAGAAAAGCUCCCACAUGAAAAAUACAUUUUAAAAGACACCCACCCACAACUUUGCAUUUAGAGGCUGAGCCAAGAAAAUUUCAAACCAAUGUUUUUGUUUAAUUCACUUUUGUUUGUUGUUACUUUAAGAGGACAAUAUUUUGGAGGUGUUUAGCCAUUAGAGGCACUUGUUUCCGUAUGC